rnacentral:rRNA from 1 species
UUAUUUUAUUUUUUAUAUUAUUUUUGUUUUUUUUCAUUUUUUAAUAAAAAUAAUUUU